GUAGGUGGCAAGCGUUGUCCGGAAUUAUUGGGCGUAAAGCGCGCGCAGGCGGUUCAUUAAGUCUGAUGUGAAAGCCCACGGCUCAACCGUGGAGGGUCAUUGGAAACUGGAGAACUUGAGUACAGAAGAGGAAAGCGGAAUUCCACGUGUAGCGGUGAAAUGCGUAGAGAUGUGGAGGAACACCAGUGGCGAAGGCGGCUUUCUGGUCUGUAACUGACGCUGAGGCGCGAAAGCGUGGGGGAGCAAACAGGAUUAGAUACCCUGGUAGUCCACGCCGUAAACGAUGAGUGCUAAGUGUUAGGGGGUUUCCGCCCUUAGUGCUGCAGCUAACGCAUUAAGCACUCCGCCUGGGAGUACGGCCGCAAGGCUG
rnacentral:rRNA from 1 species